rnacentral:rRNA from 1 species
CCUACGGGAGGCAGCAGUCGAGAAUCACUCACAAUGGGGGAAACCCUGAUGGUGCGACGCCGCGUGGGGGAAUGAAGGUCUUCGGAUUGUAAACCCCUGUCAUGUGGGAGCAAAUUAAAAAGAUAGUACCACACGAGGAAGAGACGGCUAACUCUGUGCCAGCAGCCGCGGUAAUACAGAGGUCUCAAGCGUUGUUCGGAAUCACUGGGCGUAAAGCGUGCGUAGGCUGUUUCGUAAGUCGUGUGUGAAAGGCGCGGGCUCAACCCGCGGACGGCACAUGAUACUGCGAGACUAGAGUAAUGGAGGGGGAACCGGAAUUCUCGGUGUAGCAGUGAAAUGCGUAGAUAUCGAGAGGAACACUCGUGGCGAAGGCGGGUUCCUGGACAUUAACUGACGCUGAGGCACGAAGGCCAGGGGAGCGAAAGGGAUUAGAUACCCUGGUAGUC